UUUGCAGAACAGUCUCAUAGCCCUGUAAAAAUACCUGAGCGAUGAUGUGCACCGUGGAGGGGACUUUUCCUGAAUUUGGUUGGCAUCCAGCGAGGACACUGUGACCCUGGGAGCUGCAGUGUGGCACUGCGUGUAUUUGACAAGCUGAGUCCGACACUCAGUGUGCAGAGUGUCAGUUUGUCAAAUACCCCAAGUGAGGCACUGCUGAGCAACGUGACGCUGAGGGUCCAGCCCUUUCCUCCUGCUCUGGCAGGAGUCUUCCUCUCCAGGCUCGGCACCUCUCCAAAAACCCACCGAGGUACUCAGCAGCCCAUCCCAUUGUUCCAGAACUGACUGAUCCUGUGCUGCCAAGUUUCCCUUCCACCCUGGUUUUGGAAGUGUCUGUCGGGGUAUCCCUCCCUACAGUAAAUCAGAGCAGAAGUGGGUGUUGGUGCAACUUCUCUGCACUGUGAAGACACAGAAUUGUGCCCUGGGUCCUUGUUCUCUGCAUCCAAAUACAAUGCUGUCCUCUUACAAGCAUUAACAGCCAGCUGUAAAUUAAACUCAACAAGGAUCCUGGCAAGUACAAUCACAACAUCAUGGGUGAAGGCAGCAUUAUCCGUAAUAAUCUUUCCUUUGCACAUGGUAGUAAUCUUUUUCAUAUGGAGUACAAACUAAUGAGGCUGCUUGUUAACUUCCCUCUGGCCCAUUAGCCUGUGAAAAAUGCAUGUUUGCUCAAUCGGUUUUAAAUUAGGCCAUGGAGUCCAUUGCCCCUCCUGGGAGCUUUGCUGUUUGGAGAAGACUUUUUGUCUUUGGAUGGUUAUUCCUAGUCAGCACUUGCAGCAAAGUUGCCUAUUCUGCUAUUUAAUUAAAGUAAUUCCCUCUAAA